GUGCAGCAGUCGCGAAAACUCUGCAAUACGCGAAAGCGUGACAGGGCUACCCCGAGUGUCGUCCGCUGAGGACGACUUUUCCACGCUGUAAUGAGUCGUGGGAAUAAGGAGAGGGCAAGUCUGGUGUCAGCCGCCGCGGUAAUACCAGCUCUCCGAGUGGUAGGGACGUUUAUUGGGCUUAAAGCGUCCGUAGCCGGCUCAACAAGUCUCCCGUUAAAUCCAACGAUUCAAUCGUUGGACUGCGAGAGAUACCGCGGGGCUAGGAGGCGAGAGAGGCCGACGGGAUUCCCGGAGUAGGGGUGAAAUCUUAUAAUUCCGGGAGGACCACCAGUGGCGAAGGCUGUCGGCUAGAACGAGCUCGACGGUGAGGGACGAAAGCUGGGGGAGAGAACCGGAUUAGAUACCCGGGAGUCC
rnacentral:rRNA from 1 species